rnacentral:rRNA from 1 species
GAAGUUGGAGUCGCUAGUAAUCGCAGAUCAGCAACGCUGCGGUGAAUACGUUCCCGGGCCUUGUACACACCGCCCGUCACGUCAUGAAAGUCGGUAACACCCGAAGCCGGUGGCCUAACCCUUUGUGGGAGGGAGCCGUCGAAGGUGGGAUCGGCGAUUGGGACGAAGUCGUAACAAGGUAGCCGUACCGGAAGGUGCGGCUGGAUCACCUCCUUU